GUGAAGAUUAUUUCUGCAAAGAGUUUACUUAUUCUUAAAGGGGGAGAUUAUCAAAAUGAUAAAUCCKUAUCAGUUUUAGGGGGAGUUAACACUUUCUGAUGCUAAUCAAAGAGAAAUAUUAUUUGAAGAUUGUUGAUAUAAAGAGGAAGAUUUUUUUUUGUGCUGAAAAGUUAUUUGGAGGAGAUUAUUGAAGAUCUAAAAUUGUUAAAGCGUUAAAGUUCAAAUCUUGAAGAAUUUAAGUUUCUGAAGAUUGUUGCUAUUUUGGACUUGAAUCCAAAGGGGGAGAUUGUUGGAACAUAAUUGUUGUAUUCAAGUUCCAAUCUUAAAAUGUUUUAAUAACUUUGUAAUUGUUAGUUGUAUUAUUUCCUUUUAUAGUAAUAGGUAUAAAUAGCUUGUGGUUAGUUUUGUUAGUUAGCUGUGAAUCAUAAUUGAGAAUCAGUUUGAGAUUGAGAGAGAUUGUAUGUGAUCAAGAACACAUUGUACUUACAUGGAAAUAAUCAAGUUGGCCGACRGAUUCUAUUCAUAUUAUUUUUCUUGAUUCUUAUUCUGAUUUGAUUGUUAAAGACUUGAAUCUGGGAUCAUAGAGCGAAUGGRGUUAGUUACCCCAGUAGUCCUAGCCGUAAACGAUGAAUACUAGGCAUUGUGCGUAUCGACCCAUGCAGUGUUGUAGGUAAAACGUUAUGUAUCCCGCCUGGGGAAUAAGUUUGCAAGAAUGAAACUCAUAGGAGUUGACGAGGGCCCGCACAAGCGGUGGAGCAUGUGGUUUAAUUCGAUGCAAAGCAAAGAACCUUACCAUAGCUUGAAUUACCACAAAUUCUCUUGAAAGAGAGAGCUGCCUUCGGGAACAAGGACACAUGUGGUGCAUGGAUGUUGUCAGCUCGUGUCGUAAGGUGAUGGGUUAAGUCCCACAACGAGUGCAACCCUCAUGUUUAGUUUCCAUCAUUGAGUUUGGAACCCUUAACAAACUGUCGGUGAUAAGUCGUAGGAAGGUGAGGAUGACGUCAAGUCAUCAUACCCUGGGCGACACACAUGCUACAAUGUCCGGGACAAAGGGUCUUGAUCCCGCAAGGGUGAGAUAAAUACAAAAACCCAUCCUUAGUUUGGAUUGCAGGAUGCAACUCGCCUGCAUGAAGCCAUAAUMGCUAGUAAUCGUCGAUCAGCCAUAUGGCGGUGAAUCUGUUCCUGGGCCUUGUACACACCGCCCUUCACACUAUGGAAGCUUGUCAUGCCCGAAGUUGAUACCUUAACCACAAGGAGGGGGAUUCCGAUGGCAGGGCUAGUGACUGGACUGAAGUUGUAACAAGGUAGUCGUACUGGAAGGUGCGGCUG
rnacentral:rRNA from 1 species